UACGUAGGGCGCAAGCGUUAUCCGGAAUUAUUGGGCGUAAAGAGCUCGUAGGCGGCUUGUCGCGUCGUCCGUGAAAACCUGCGGCUCAACUGCAGGCUGGCGGUCGAUACGGGCAAGCUGGAGUUCGGUAGGGGAGACUGGAAUUCCUGGUGUAGCGGUGAAAUGCGCAGAUAUCAGGAGGAACACCGGUGGCGAAGGCGGCAUCCUGGACCGGUAUUGACGCUGAGGCGCGAAAGCCAGGGGAGCAAACGGG
rnacentral:rRNA from 1 species